CAAUGAUCCAAACCUUUUUCUUUUCCACAAACUGUGAUGUCUGGUGUGUUGUGUUCCAGAACUUUGUCAGUCUGGAUUCGGAAGUCCCACAGUCUCUUUGCCUGCUCAUUUUCCAUUACUUUUGCAGUACUAUUAUUAUUAUUAUUAUUAUUAUUAUUAUUAUUAUUAUUAUUAUUAUUUCCUUCUUUUCUUCCUGCCCUGUUCCUUCCUUCCUUCCUUCCUUCCUUCCUUCCUUCCUUCCUUCCUUCCUUCCUUCCUCAGAGGAGGAGGGCUAGAUACCUGCCCACUCUCUCCUUUCCACCCUGGGUAUAAGACUCACAAGACUAAAGGUAAACUUCUCAAGGACCAGCUGGGACCCCACUCCCUCCUUCCAACCCCUAUGGAAGGUGACAUCAGCCCUGGUUCCCACCAGACCUAGACAACGAUGGGUUCCAAAGUGUCAACGGGCCAAGAAGCAGGACUGAUGGCCACACACACACCUCCUCACCACCCUUCUUUCCUUCCUUCCUUCCUUCCUUUUUCUCCUUCCUUCCUUCCCCUUGAAUCCAGGAGCACCCUGACCUCCACCAAGGAUGGAACUGAGCCAAACCUGGCAGACGGAACCCCAGCCGGUGGCCUUCCCUAUGCAAUUCCAAAGUGGGACAAAUCCUGGUCUAACUGUCUAACAGUUCAGCCUAUGACGAGGAGUAAUUUAACCCUUUGGCCCCGGGAAAUGUGCUGAGCAAAGGCCCACCGAGGCCAGUGGCACUCAAUUUAGCCCUGGCCAGAGUCCAGCCGAUUUCCAUCAAAUUAGGCCUGGCCCAAACACAACAGGGUCUGGCUGCUUCUUUUGUAAUUUAUUUGCCUUGUAUUUACUGGCACCCAUGAAUAGCAAAAGGAAGCUCUGGAAUAUGUGAGAGAAAGGCUGGGGGGGGGGGGUGGAACUUGUGAGUUGUUGCUUGUGUGUUUUGCUGGGAGGUCUGCACAUUCCCAGGUAUCUUUUUAAUCUGGGUUAAAUCUAGGCUUCCUGUUUUUCCCCAGGUUAAAUCAACAUUAUCCGCCCAGGGUUGUUUGGAUGUUUCUGGUUCGGCUUCUCCAUCUUAGUUUGUUGCUCGAUGCAAGUGGAUGGACGCAACGCACAAUUGCACGUCACAUCACAACAGCGGCCCCUUGAUGCUCCAAGUCACAACUUGGGCCGUUUUACUUUUAAUUACUCUGAUUUUAUCUACUUGGAUUUUAAUGUAUUGUCCAUGAUUUUAUUUUGUGUAUUGCUGGAAUGUUUUAUGUUUUUGUCAAAUAUGUUGUGUCCUUGUUUCGGGCUUGUCCCUGUUGUGAGCCGCCCCGAGUCCCUUCGGGGAGAUGGGGCGGGAUAUAAAAAUAAAGUUUAUUAUUAUUAUUAUUAUUAUUAUUAUUAUUAUUAUUAUUAUUAUUAUUAUUAUUUUCCUGCAGAUUUCCUGCAGUUGGCAAGUCCCGUCGCGGCACCUUUCUUGCCAGGAUCCGACAAAGAGACAAGCGCUGCCCAGAGUUUUGUGCCAAGGCCCGUGCGUGGCUUCGGAACAAAAGGGAUCGCGAUGCUCAGGGCCGGGUCCAGAAGGUUCUGAAUGCUCAGGAUAUCAUUGGACUAGACCACAGGUAAGUAAAGAGACCUCCAAAGACAAUCUGGAUGGUCUCAUAAGGUAAGGAAAGGGACCCUCAAAGGCCAUCUAGAUGAUCUCAUCAGGCCAUCAGAAGACCAUAGAUAAGAAAAGGGACCUCAAAGACCACCUAGGUGGUUUCAUAAGACCAUCGGUAAGGAAAGGGACCCUCAAAGGCCAUCUAGAUGAUCUCAUCAGGCCAUCAGAAGACCAUAGAUAAGAAAAGGGACCUCAAAGACCACCUAGGUGGUUUCAUAAGACCAUCGGUAAGGAAAGGGACCCUCAAAGGCCAUCUAGACGGUCUCAUAGGACCAUCGGUAAGGAAGGUGACCUCCAAAAGCCAUCUAGAUGGUCUCAAAAGGCCGGAGCUAAGCAAAGAGACCUUCAAAGACUAUCUAGACCAGGGGUCCCCAAACUAAGGCCCGGGGGCCACAUGCGGCCCAUCGAAGCCAUUUAUCCGGCCCCCACAGCACAAAGGCAGAAGGGGGUUGGGCUAAAUGACCCAAGGGUUCUCCUCUUCUCUUCUAUUAUUAUUAUUAUUGUUGUUGUUGUUAAUAUUAUUAACAUUGAGGUGGAGAGGCCAUCUGUCAGGGGUACUUUGCUUGUGCUUUUGGUGCAAAAAGGCAGAAGGGGGUUGCACUCAAUGGCCCAAGGGGUCUCUUCCAACCCUCUUUAUUAUUGUUGUUGUUGUUGUUGUUGUUAUUGCUUGGUGGCCAACUAUAGUCCGGCCCUCCAAUGGUCUAAAGGAUCGUGAACUGGCCCCCUGCUUAAAAAGUUUGGGGACCCCUGAUCUAGACAAUCUCAUAAGACCAUAGGUAAGCAAAGAGACCUCCAAAAACCAGGUAGACUUAGGUCAACCCUAAGUCUAAAGUUUAGGACAAGGGCCUGGUAAAUCACCUUGGGGGGCUACAUCCGGCCCCCAGGCCUUAGUUUGGGGACCCCUGGACUAGACAAUCCCCUAAAGAACCUGCUUCCCAUCAAGACCUAAAAUCUGUCCUGGGCCCAGACUGUGGUCUCCACCCAAGGAUAUGGCUCACUCCUACUCAUCGGACUCAUGCGCUUUGUCCAUUUGCCCUGUUUUCAAAAGCGAGUUGCGCCAGCGCAGUUCAGUCAGUGCAGUCCAAUCUGGCCAAACAAGGAUUCAAAGGAAGGAGCCAGGCUUCAAAGCGGCUCUUUGAUUGAGGGUGCGACUCCAGCUGCUCCAGAAAACGGCCAGGCUUUGAGGCUGCAAGGCUAUUCCCUGCUAUUCCACCUGGCCAACAAAGGAUUCCCAUAAGCCACAGCAACACGUGGCCAGGCAAAGCUAGUUUUAUAUAAAGUUUUAUUAUUAUUAUUUUAGUAUGACACAGCAAACAAGAUACACAUGCUGGAUUUCGUAUCACGAAAUCACAAGUCGAACACUUCCCAAGUGUCUAGGACUGUGUGAUGUAUUUUCGGAUGAUGCGUGCAGAUCCCAGCAGGGUGGCCUUUUGCAGUUGGCAGAUUGUGAUUUUGUCAAUGUCUAUUGUUUCCAAAUGCCGGCUGAGCUCUUUUGGCACGGCACCCAGUGUGCCCAUCACCACCGGGACCACCUGUACUGGUUUCUGCCAGAGUCUUUGCAGUUCAAUCUUGAGGUCCUGAGAGCGGCUGAGUUUUUCCUGUUGUUUUUCGUCAAUGCGACUGCCACCUGGGAUGGCGACAUCAAUGAUCCAAACCUUUUUCUUUUCCACAACUGUGAUGUCAGAAACGACAACAGAAGCCUCUCUCCGUCCAGGUCUAACACGGCCCCGAACGGCCCUUUGCGGCCGACAGAAGUGAUGCCAAACCACCUUCAGCGCCUUCCAUCUCGGCCGUCGAUGUUUGAGGCCGGAAGACUCCACAAACAGCAUUUCAUUGGAUUCCUAAUGUCUUUUGGCUGAUGUUUUGGGCGGGCUUUGGUGGCUAAAGGCUUCCAUAGGUGGGCCGGAGGCAGAGCGACUCGCACCCGCGCUCCCACUCACGCUUUGAGCCACUCUGCCGCCCACCCACGCCAAAGAAAAUAAUAAAACAAUGCAUUUGUGUUUUUGCAA